AUUGAACGCUGGCGGCAGGCCUAACACAUGCAAGUCGAGCGGAAACGAAGGGAGCUUGCUCCCAGGCGUCGAGCGGCGGACGGGUGAGUAACACGUGAGAAUCUGCCCAUUAGUGGGAGACAACUCGGGGAAACUCGAGCUAAUACCGCAUAAUCCCUACGGGGGAAAGCAGGGGACCUUUUGGCCUUGCGCUGAUGGAUGAGCCCACGUCGGAUUAGCUUGUUGGUGAGGUAAGGGCUCACCAAGGCGACGAGCCGUAGCUGGUCUGAGAGGAUGAUCAGCCACACUGGGACUGAGACACGGCCCAGACUCCUACGGGAGGCAGCAGUGGGGAAUCUUGGACAAUGGGGGGCAACCCUGAUCCAGCCAUGCCGCGUGUGUGAAGAAGGCCUUCGGGUUGUAAAGCACUUUCAGCAGGGAGGAAGGCUUUGGCCGAAUAGGUUGAAGUACUUGACGUUACCUGCAGAAGAAGCACCGGCUAAUUUCGUGCCAGCCGCCGCUGUAA
rnacentral:rRNA from 1 species